rnacentral:tRNA from 1 species
GCCUGGGUGGCUCAGUUGGUUAAGUGACUGACUUUGGCUCAGGUCAUGAUCACAGGGUUUGUGAGUUUGAGCCCCGCCACAGGCU